AUGGCAGCUGAGAUUGGAGGGGUGCCUUCGUUACUGGUGAGAGGACACGGUGAAGCUGAAUAUUUCUACAACUCUUUCAAGCCCAGAUUCCAGCCCACAGAGCCCCCAAGGGCUGUGCCCAGCGCAAGCACGCGGCACAUGUUGCGGGGACCCCUGCACCACCCCCCACCCCGCUCCCCGUUCUGUCCCUCCUCCACGCGGCGUGUCUUUUCAGGAAACCUCGGGGGUCCGCGAUGUCACGGCCCCGGCCUGCCCAUUGCACUUAGGUGCCAACCCAAAACUUCCAACCUUGCCGGGGAAAACCCCGCUGCUGCUGUGACGUCAGGUCUGCUGACUGCCACGUAGGCCGCUCUGGGCUGGCCACCGCAGCCUCUUUUCUGCUCCGUGAACACACCAAGCCCUCUCCUGCCCCGGGGCCUUCGUGCCUUCUGUCCAUUUGCAGUGACCUUCCCUGCCUUCCUCUGACUUUCUCUGCCUCCUUAAAUGCCACCUUAACGCUCUUCUGGAAGCCUUGCCCCGCCGCGUCACCCUGGGGCACGCCUCGCUGUGGACCAUUUGCUUGUCUCCUGUCAGUCCCUGCACUGGAAGGGCAGCUGGGGUGCCCCGGCUUCCUGGUUCACGCUUAGUCCUCAGAGCCUGGCACGUGCUGGGGUCUCCAUAAAGAUCUCCUGAAUGAAGGGAGAACUGUCUCACAGCCGUGGUUUUUCCAGUUGGAAGUUUGCAGAAACACACUGAUGUGAUGCCACAACUUCGUCACAGCUAAAUGUUAAUUGUACGCGCUUGAAAUGUGACUGCUAAGCAACCAAACCGAUCAAGGAUGAGGACUCUCUCCCCUCCCACGGAUCUGUGGACCGCACUGGACACAGUGGGGAGAAGGUAUCUGCCCCCUGCCACCAGGGGAAUCAAAUCCGAAGACCCCAGGGGCAGGGGCACUUUCCACAUACACACGGGGUGUGGCUCGGUGCUCUCCAGACCUGCCCUCGUGUUGUCUGGAUACGUGAAGAAGGUGACUUAGAUGAACAGGGUCCUGGGCAGCAGAUUCUUAGCCCUGAGGGUCUGUGUUGGAAGCAGGUGCAUUUGGGUCUUGGUUUCAGUGGGUGAUGGAGGAAGACAACGUGAGUUGCAAUGUGUCUUGCAGUCUCGGGGGAAAAGUGGUUUUGAAGCAGCAGAAAGAAUCUUGUUUUAUACAGAGAGCAAAGAUAGACAUGCUUGUUUCAUGGGGGGGAUCCACCUGGAAAAAAUACGUGUCUGAGUGAGAUCCGCGAUUCCCCCAAGAAGCCCUGUAUAAGCUUAGGACUAUUUUGAUCACUGUGCAGGCCAAGAACUGACUCUCAGAUAAUGGUGCAGUCACGUUCACCCAGUUGCAAGGUGGGGAGCAGGGACUGGACUCUCCAAAGUGCCAGAUAGUUCCAGAACAGCCACUUCUCACAAAACCCCAGGGAGGAGCGCAACGCCACCCAGUGCUGCCGUAGCGCCUUGAGGACAGUGCCUGGAGCAGACCUGGGAGCUGGUGUCCUUCCAGUUGCCCACUCAGAAGCUUUGGGAAGCACCCCCUCCCACCCCCAGCCACUGGAAAUCCACUCGUAACCGCACCCGGGACAUCCGUUGUGUUUACGUCCUCAAUGAUUCUGCAUCUUCCUAUGAGAAUACAGCGGUGAGGCCAGAGGGAUUAAGGCUAGUGUCACCAGCGCUAUGAUGGAGGGAAAAGGAAAAGUAGGAGGAAAUACAGACGGAAUAAAACCCAGCAGGCUUCCGGGUGCA
rnacentral:lncRNA from 1 species